UAGGGAAUCUUCCGCAAUGGACGCAAGCCUGACGGAGCAACGCCGCGUGAGUGAAGAAGGACUUCGGUUCGUAAAACUCUGUUGUUAGAGAAGAACAGCGCAUAGAGUAACUGUUAUGCGUGUGACGGUAUCUAACCAGAAAGCCACGGCUAACUACGUGCCAGCAGCCGCGGUAAUACGUAGGUGGCAAGCGUUGUCCGGAUUUAUUGGGCGUAAAGCGAGCGCAGGCGGUCAAUUAAGUCUGAUGUGAAAGCCCCCGGCUCAACCGGGGAGGGUCAUUGGAAACUGGUUGACUUGAGUGCAGAAGAGGAGGGUGGAAUUCCAUGUGUAGCGGUGAAAUGCGUAGAUAUAUGGAGGAACACCAGUGGCGAAGGCGACUCUCUGGUCUGUAACUGACGCUGAGGCUCGAAAGCGUGGGUAGCAAACAGG
rnacentral:rRNA from 1 species